rfam:Jatropha curcas cultivar GZQX0401 scaffold749_31, whole genome shotgun sequence.
GCAAUUGCAGUGAUGAAUCCAUUGUGGUGGACUAGAGUUUCUGAUUGGGACUCUUCUUUCCCAUUAGUUUGAAGACUAACCCUUGGCUGUCUGAGCAAGCUUGC